rnacentral:rRNA from 1 species
GAGCUCAAAUUUAAAAUCUGGCGUCUUUCAGGCGUCCGAGUUGUAAUCUAUAGAGGCGUUUUCCGCGCCGGACCGCGUCCAAGUCUCUUGGAAUAGAGUAUCAAAGAGGGUGACAAUCCCGUACUUGACGCGACAACCGGUGCUCUGUGCAUACGUUCUCAAUGAGUCGAGUUGUUUGGGAAUGCAGCUCUAAAUGGGUGGUAAAUUCCAUCUAAGGCUAAAUAUUGGCGAGAGACCGAUAGCGAACAAGUACCGUGAGGGAAAGAUGAAAAGCACUUUGGAAAGAGAGUUAAACAGCACGUGAAAUUGUUAAAAGGGAAACGAUUGAAGUCAGUCGUGUGAAAGGUAUUCAGCCGGCUCUGGCGGUGUAUUUGCCUUUCACGGGUCAACAUCAGUUUGAUCCGGUAGAAAAAGGCGGGAGGAAGGUGGCACCCUACGGGGUGUGUUAUAGCCUCCUGUCAUAUGUGCCGGAACAGUACUGAGGGAGCGCAGCUUGCCGCAAGGGCCGGGGUU